rnacentral:lncRNA from 1 species
GAGCCCAUGUUAAAGAGAAUAUUUAUUUUUAAAAAUUUGUAAAGAUAUUUUAUCUUACUAAUUAUACCCAACAACAAUUUUCCACAUAAGUUUUCCAAAGUUAUAGGAUCCAAAUAAUUUCCCUCCCCCCUCUCAUAGAUGAAAAACUUUGUAAUGAAAAAGAAGGAUCAAAAAUGGCCAACAUGGAGUUAAGACCUAAGCUUCCUCCCUUCUUCUCUUCCUUUAUUCUUCCCUUUCUCCUGCCUUCCUUUUUUUCUUUUUCUUUUUCUCAUAAAGAAGGAACAGUAGAUGGAAUGCUGGACCUGGAAUCAGGAAGAUCUCCAAUCAGAUGAAUUAUCUAUGAAAUGGUGAUAAUAAUAGCAUCCACCUCCCAAGGUUGUAAUAAAAAUAAA